AGUCGACGGGUCGCUCCUCCCACUCUUCACGUCGACUGUUCCCCUCUGGAGGUCAUAACCUUCAGCAUUGGCCGGACUUUUUAAGUCCGGCCUUU
rnacentral:sRNA from 1 species